rfam:Variovorax sp. HW608 genome assembly, chromosome: I
GUGAGGGCGACCGAGCGUGGGAAGGAAGCAUGGAGCGUAAGCCGCGAGUCGAGGAACACGAAGCGCAUAUGAGGCGGUGCCGAGCAGGGCGAGCGGGCAAAUGAUCGCGAAGCCCUUGUGGUCAAGGCGAGGUGACGUAGAUGCGACGGCUGUGCGGUGAAGGAUGGCGUU